rnacentral:rRNA from 1 species
CGGGACGGGUGAGUAACGCGUGGAAAACCUGCCGUAUACUGGGGGAUAACACUUAGAAAUAGGUGCUAAUACCGCAUAAGCGCACAGCUUCGCAUGAAGUGGUGUGAAAAACUCUGGUGGUAUACGAUGGUUCCGCGUCUGAUUAGCUUGUUGGUGGGGUAAUGGCUCACCAAGGCGACGAUCAGUAGCCGGCCUGAGAGGGUGAACGGCCACAUUGGGACUGAGACACGGCCCAAACUCCUACGGAAGGCAGCAG